GAUGAACCGUGCGAACGUUGUUCGGAAUCACUGGCUUAAGGCGCGUAGGCGGCCACCAAGUCAGGGUGAAUCUUCGGCUCACCGGAAAAGUGCCUCUGAUACUGGCGCCUCGAGGAGUAGGGUCUGCGGAACUUCCGGUGGAGCGGUGAAUGCGUAGAUAUCGGAAGAACGCCGGUGGCGAAGCGGCGGACUGGACCGUCUUCUGACGCUGAGCGCGAAGCCAGGGAGCAAGCGGG
rnacentral:rRNA from 1 species